UACAGAGGUCCCAAGCGUUGUUCGGAUUCACUGGGCGUAAAGGGUGCGUAGGCGGUCGGGUAAGUCGGGUGUGAAAUUUCGGAGCUUAACUCCGAAACUGCAUUCGAUACUGCGGUGCUUGAGGACUGGAGAGGAGACUGGAAUUCAUGGUGUAGCAGUGAAAUGCGUAGAGAUCAUGAGGAAGACCAGUGGCGAAGGCGGGUCUCUGGACAGUUCCUGACACUGAGACACGAAGGCCAGGGGAGCAAACGGG
rnacentral:rRNA from 1 species